AACGAACGCUGGCGGCAUGCCUAACACAUGCAAGUCGAACGGAUUAGAGGGGCUUGCUCCUCUAGUUAGUGGCGAACGGGUGAGUAAUGCAUCGGAACGUACCGUGUAGUGGGGGAUAACCCGGCGAAAGUCGGAUUAAUACCGCAUACGAUCUAAGGAUGAAAGCGGGGGAUCGCAAGACCUCGCGCUAUACGAGCGGCCGAUGUCGGAUUAGCUAGUUGGUAGGGUAAAGGCCUACCAAGGCAACGAUCCGUAGCGGGUCUGAGAGGAUGAUCCGCCACACUGGGACUGAGACACGGCCCAGACUCCUACGGAGGCAGCAGUGGGAAUUUUGGACAAUGGACGCAAGUCUGAUCCAGCCAUGCCGCGUGAGUGAAGAAGGCCUCGGUUGUAAG
rnacentral:rRNA from 1 species